rnacentral:tRNA from 1 species
UCCCUGGUGGUCCAGUGGUUAGGACUUGAGGUUUCACUGCUGAGGGCCUGGGUUCAAUCCCUGGUUGGGGAA